CUAAGCAGCUUUUGGAUAAGCUUGUUGUGGUGAAGAAUAAUGGAGCUUUGGGAAAGAAUAUGGGUUUCGGUGGUCCCGAAUGGGGGUUGGAGAAUACGAUCAAAGGGAAAACAUCAGAUAUGGUUCCCAGCCAAGCAGUGGCUUCUUAGACACCCAACAUUUUGCACAACCAAAUAUGACCACAACUUUUAAACCUACAUGUUGAGGAUUCACAUUCAAGGAGCAAGAAACAUCUCAGCAACUUAUUGGGAUCGAGUAGUCAAAAUUCAGAAUCAAGUGACACACAAGAGCUAGAUUUGGAGC